CCCACGCAGGGCCCCGUCGCGACCCGGGCCUCACCGCGCCGGCGGGCGACCCCCGGCCAGCCUCAGUGCCCGGGAGCCCCCGGCCUCCGGAGCCUGGGGCAUCGACUAUCCCCGCCCCCACGCUGGCCUUUCCCUGGGACCCUCGGCCGGCUGAGCUCUCCUAGGCCUCACUGCAUCCUACACCAGUCCUCAGCUCAGCCGCAGAUCCCUGGAAGCCCCCGGCCGGGCCGCGGGCUGAAAGUUGGCCUCUUCUGGGGACACCCCGCCCACCCGGUCUUUCUAGGCUUUACUGAACCGCAGAAUCCCUCAGCUCUUCUCAUCGCCCAAGCUGACCUAAGGUGAGCUCAGCUAGCGUCUCAGACUAACCCCAAUCUCCUAGUAAUUCUCGGUCUCCCCUUAUGCUGGGCAGGUGAUUUACCCACAGAAGCCUAGAGCCAGGUUUAUGGGGCUGGCCUUAGGCAAAUAUCUAGAAGGAGAGUUUUAAGCAGGAAUCCUACCCUACAGUACUUGGGGAAAGUACAAGCCGAGGUUAAAGUGGAGCUGGAUGAGCAGAGGGUCCAGACCAGGUACCCCAGGCAGAGGCGAGUGUGCUAUUUGAAAGGAUUCUUGCCAAGAGACUGGAGCAUUUAGGAGCUGAGGACCAUAUACAAAGGUGAUCAGCAUCAAUUUGCUGAUACAUGGAGUCUUGUUUUCACACAUCCUAGGCUUUUCCAAAAUAACUGUUUGAUCCUAAAGAAAAAGGUGCCAAGCAGAAUUGCCUGUGGCGGAAAACACGCUGUGGGGAAGCCAUGCAGGUAUGUGCGGUCCAAACAUCUUUAUCACUCAGAAAUGCCACUGGUUCAGAUGGUUUUACAGCAAGUUCUGUCAUACCAUCAGGGGACAACUGUUACACUGCCAAAAAAAAAAAAAAAAGAGAGAGAGAGAGAAACAAAAAAUUUCCAUUUCCGUUUCCCAUGUUUGGUGUAACCCUGAUACCAAAAUCCAACAGAGAUAACACCAAAAAGGAGAACUGCAGAAAACUAGAAUAGAAUACUGUUCUCCAGAGAAUUUAAUAUGUGUUUUUUGAAAAAGGGGUUCUGCAGUCAAAUAACUUGAGUAAGUGCUGCAGUCACCUUUUGGAGGGUCACAGUAAGUCAGCAUAUUAAGGUCUCUGUGAAGUCCAGGAGUAAAGAAACCUGUUCAUUUAUUUAACCUGGCAUUUCCCAAAUUCAUCUGAGCCAGGACUACCUUUUCAAAACUCAAUGAUUAAGCUCCAACAUGUGACUCACUGCUAUAGACCAACUCACUUAAUUAAUAGUAGUUGUGAAACUAGUAAAUAAAGUUUUAGCAAUUUGAAUCCAGCUUGGUAUAAAGUAAGUAAAAACCCACCAUGAUCAAGCAAGAUUUAUUUUAGAAAUGCAAAGAAAAUUCUGUUAGGGAAUCCAUAAAUUCAUUGCAUUGUUAAAGGAAGAUAAAUCAGAGGACAUUAUCGAUAGAAUAGAUGCUUUAAAAACAUUCAAUAAACUUCAAAAACCAUUGACUUAUAAAUUUCUAAAAACUCUUAAUAAACUAGGAAGAAAAUUUAAACUUCUUAACAAGACAAAGUUUAUCAGAAUCCAUCAACAACAUAUUUAAUGGUGAAACACUGAAAGUAUUCAUUUAAGAAACAAAAGGAUACCUGCUAUCAUUGUUAUAGCUAAAGCCAAUGCAAUAAGGUAAGAAAAAUAAAUGAGAAAUGUGAAUAUUGGAAAGGAAGAGAUAAAAUUGUCAUUUGCUCAUGAUGUCAGUGUUUCCCAAAAAAUCAAAAUCAAAAAGAAUCAACUAAAAAUCUUAGAGGCUUUGGUAAGGUGGUCAAUUAUAAGGUUAGCACUAAAGUCAAAGUCUUCCUUAAAUGUUAAGAGAGAAUCCUUCUUUUCCACAUAGAGGGACUCCCAUUGGAAUAAGACUGCUGGCCCCUCUCCACCCUGAGGAUGAGUGAUUUAGAGGAAGUGAUUAGUGAGUUUGGGAGAAGUAUUAAUAAUUGAACAAGAAUAGAUGCUUCUGAGUUCUGUUUUUGGAUUUGGCUGGUUGCAGAGAGCAAAUAUUUUAAUAUGCUGUCACUAUGUGCUAAGUGAACCUUUUCAUGAGCAGAGAGAUACUAUUGCCCUGCAUUGCCUUCAACUAUAGAAAUAAACCAAUUCAGGGAAAAAUAUAGCAAACUCACUUAGCUACACAUCAAAAGCUAUACUUUCCAAUCAAUUAUGUCUCUUUCCUGUAUCUAUGAUUCAGUUUGCUCCAAACUCACAAGAGGGAGGCAGGUAUUAUAAUACUUAUAGAAUCCCCCAAAUACAACACUAAAUACCAGUGAUUUCCAUUUAGAAAGAUGAUAGAAACAGAUUAUAUUCACAUUAGCAAUGAAUAUUUUAAGGCAUAUACUAGGCAUAAGCUUAACAAGAAAUGGCAAAGUCCAUAGAAAGAAAACUAUAAAACCUUAUUGAAGGACAUUAAAGAAGACCUUAAUAAGUUGAAAAAUAUAAAAAAAUCCCUGGGCAGGAAGUAGCAAUAUGGCAAAGACUUCAUAUCUUCCCAACUUAAUUUAUAAAUUUAAUGGAAUCCAGAUCAAAGAACCAAGAUGAUUUGGGGGUGAGGUGGGGUGGAACAUGACAAUUAUUUUGAAACUUAUCUUGAUACUUAUCUUACUUGAUAAGUAAAUAUGGGUGAAUACCCAGGAAAUUUUUUGAAAUGGAAAAAUGAUGCGGUAAUAUUGGUCUAACAGAUAAUAAAAUAGAAUGUGAAAACUUCAGGAAAUACAACUGUGGGCCACUAGUGUAGGAAUAAACACUUUUAUCAUAUAUUAAGUUCCAUUCAUAAGUGCUUUGUUUUUAUCUAUUGUAAUAUUUGUAUACAAAUAUUUUAUACAAAUAUUGCUAUUAAUAUAAAAAUAGGUAUAUCCAUUGUAUAUCAUAUAUUUUUAUAUAACAGGAAUAUUCAUUUUAUCCAUCGAUCUAUUUAUAUAUUCCUAUAAAAAUAGGAUAUACAAAUUUGUAUAUUCCCAUACACCUUACUCCAAACCAUAUUAUCUGGCCUAGACCACUCUGAUAACUUUCUUACUGGUCUCUUGGCUUUGCUCCCCCUCAAACAAUAGAAAAUAGCAACCAGAGUGAUCAAAAACUAAUAAUGAUAAAAUGCAGCAGGCACUCCCUUGCUUAGAGUCCUUCAAUGAAUUUCCAUACAAUAAAAUAAAAUUCAAAUGCUCCAACAUGACCUGCAAGGUCCCAUGCUGUCUGGACCUAGCCUGCCCCUCCAUCCUCCUUUCAGCUGCUCUAACCACACCAGCUUCCUUUUAGAUCCUUGAAUAUCAAAACUCUUUCCACCCUGGGUGAAUGCCUAGAGCACUCCUUUUAGUCUUUACCGGGCCUGGACUCUUCUCAUACCUAAACUUUCAGCGUACAUAUCACCUCCUAGGUCCCUGUUGUUUCCAUCCAUACCGCAUUAGUUCAUUUCCUGCUUAUCACUUAUCACAAUUUGUAACUAUCCGCUAUUUGUUUACCUCUUCAGCUGUCACCUUCCCACUCCACCAAAAACUCCAUAUCUGUUUUGUUCAUCAAGCAUAAAUGUGUCACACAUACUAGCCCCUCAGUAAACAUUUUAUAGAUUGGUAUGUCAAUGUUUAAUAUGCGCAUACCCUUUGUCCCAUGUCUAAUAAUUUAUCCAGAGUAAACAAUCAGACAAGUGCACACAGAUGUAAGUUCAAGGAUAAUUAUUUCAGCAUUGCUUGUAAUGAGAAAAUAUUGGACAUAGCCUAAAUGUCCAGCAAUAGAUUGAGUCAUUAAAAAAAAACUGUACUGACAUAGAAAUAUAUCAUGGUAUUUUGUUAAGUUAAAAAAAAAGCAGGUUAUGGAACAGAAUGCAUUUAUUAUAUGAGCCCAUCAAUUUUGUAUGUGUUUGUGAUUAUUUAUAUGUACAGGCAGGCAGUCCCUGGGUUACAGAUGACCCAACUUAUGGCCUUCCAUACUUAUGAACGGGCUCCCAAGGUUCCCCAUAAAGAUAAUUUAUAAUUAAAUAAUUAAAGUAAUAAUUCGAGAACUAGUUUCUUUCUAAUGUGACCAAACCCACAUGGUAUAAAUGGUAUGUUUGCAUAGCAUCUUUACGUUAGCGGCUAGUCUCACAGAUAGAUCGAGAAGCACCUGCUAGAAACACAAAAACAUGAAGAACCAGAAGAUCCAGAGCCAAGGAAGUUUCUGACAGAAGAGUUAGCUGAAGGCUUUCGUCUUAUUGAAGCAGGAUUUGCUAAGCUUGAGGAGCAUGAUCCUAACAUUGAGCAGUUUACACAGCUUUACUGUGCAGUUAGUGAGAACAUCGGCUGCUACAAGUCCAUUUAUGAUGAAAAAAAGGAAAAGGUUGUGCAAACAACCCUAGAUACCUUUUUCAAGAAACCAUCUUCAGUGGUCAGCUCCCCUCCUCCAGCCACAGAAUCAAAUCCUGAUUUUCCAGCACCCACUCCAUCCCCUCCAGCGCUGCCUUCAUCAUCGUCCAUUUUCCAAUGAAGGUCAGCUAUCUUCUCGCCUCAAAAAAGCCCUUUCCAGUAAGCAAGACAUUGAUGCAAGAUUAGGAAGAGGAUCUGAGGACCCAGACACACGUGGGGGUGACCAUGUGAAGACCUGGGGAGAGGACAGCCACCUGCCAGCCAAGGAGAAAGGCCUCAGCAGAGACCAACCCCGCUGACACCCUGAUCUGGAACUUCUAGCCUCCAGGACUGUGAGAAAACAGAUUUCUGUUGUUUGAGCCACCUAGUCUGUGGUCCUGUGCCAUGGUAGCCCUUUGUUAAUACAGACAUGGAGACCAAGAGACUCCCAACGUCCCCCCAACACAGCCCCAGACCCACAGCUGCCUUCACAGCCCCACCCAGAUCCCUGGAGACGGCACGUUCCCCACCCCCAGCCCCGAAGCGCAGGGCUCACUGGAGAGCCCCGUUCCCCGAGGCCCCUUCCUUGGCAUGAGGACUGAGUUUGGCCCAGUCUUCUAGCAUCACCAACAUGCAAGAGGAGAGGGCACCUGGGAGCCUCCUCCACUGCUGUGACAAUAUCAGCUUGCACGUGGAGUCGCAAUUAUAGGUCCCCAGGGCCGUUCCAAACACUCUGCAGGUAUUAACUCAUCUAACCAUCUCAACCAGCCUUUCAGGUAGGUACUGUUACCAAAAUCCCCAUUCAAGAGAUGGCAAAAUGGACACACAGAGAGGUCAAGUAACUUGCCUGAAAUCACACAGCCAGCAAAACCAGAGCUGGGACUUGAAUUGAGGCAGUCUGACUCAAGCCUAGCUCUGAACCAUGGGAAAUCUGCCACCAGGAUCAGAGACAAGGCCAAAUUCAAAACAGCUCAAACCCCUGGUCAAGAAGCAAGUGAGCUAAAGUGCUUUCCCAGAAGCAAGACUUUUCCCAGGUCCUAAGGUCCCAGGUGCAGCCCUGCAUGCAGGGCUGGCAACAUAAUUUGCAGGGCCCAGUUGCAAAAUGAAAAUGUGAGUCCCCUUUUCAAAAAGCAGGGGAAUGGUGUCACAAAAAAAUAUUAAACUAAAAAGAUUUUUCCUUGC